rnacentral:rRNA from 1 species
AAAACAUUUUUAAUAGACAUUAUUAUUAAUAAAAUCUGCUCAAUGAAUUUUCAAUAGUCGCGUAUUACGUGCAAAGGUAGCAUAAUCACUUGUCUUUUAAUUAAAGUCUAGAAUGAAAGAUAAAACAUUUAAUUUAAUUUUUUAAUAAAGACUAAAAAUUUAUCUCAAAUGUAAAAAGACAUUUUUCUCAAAAAUAGACGACAAGACCCUAUCGAACUUUCACUUCAGUUUCACUGGGGAAGUAAAUUAAAAAUAAUUUUAAUUAACUCUCUUUCUAAAACAUCUAAUAAAAUUAAGUAAAACAAGUUACCGUAGGGAUAACAGCGUAAUAUUAUAUUAUAGAUCUUAUACAAUAAACUGUUUACGACCUCGAUGUUGAAUUAAUAAUCUUCUAAAUGCAAUAAUAUAGUAAAGAAAGUCCGUUCGACUUAUAAACAAUUAC